rnacentral:rRNA from 1 species
UACGAAGGGGGCUAGCGUUGCUCGGAAUCACUGGGCGUAAAGGGUGCGUAGGCGGGUUUUUAAGUCAGGGGUGAAAUCCCGGGGCUCAACCUCGGAACUGCCUUUGAUACAGCAAGUCUUGAGUUCGAGAGAGGUGGGUGGAAUUCCUAGUGUAGAGGUGAAAUUCGUAGAUAUUAGGAAGAACACCGGUGGCGAAGGCGGCCCACUGGCUCGAUACUGACGCUGAGGUGCGAAAGCGUGGGGAGCAAACAGG